CGCGGUUGGACACGCACGGGGA
rnacentral:miRNA from 1 species